CGAUCGCUUAGUAUCUUUACCAGCCUAUUUCUAUCCUCGACGCCCACCCUCCACCCUCGCUACCGUGAUUCUUUUUCAUAAGGGACGCGCGUAGCUUUCCCUCUCUCUCUUUCCCCCCUCUCUUCAUACAUACUAGAGAAUUUCAUAGAAAUCAUUCUAUUCUAAAGACUCACUCUCAAAAUAUGUAUAUUGAAAUAAUUUGCUCAAUAUAAUCGAAGGAUUAAAGGCUAUUUAACUUGUAUUUUAUCUUUUCUUUCCAUUAGCGAACGUGCGCAUGCUAGCCAUCAUCGACCUCGCUGCCCUUUUUACGCUCGAUUCCUUCCUUUUACGGAUUAAGACAAAGUACGAGGUCAAGGGUACGGUCUUGAAUGAUCUUGAAAGAAACAAUCCUUUUCUCUUGAAAAUACUUCCAUUGAGGAAGAAAAAACAAAGAAAAAAACGAAAAAGAUCGAUAUCGAUUUGACGAAAGAAAGAAGUAAUUUUUUGAUCUUUUAACAUUUUUAAAUUUCCUGCCUUUUGACGUUGGAGCGUUGAAAAAGAGCGACCUAUCAUAGGCAUAUACCUACAUAUAAGUAUGUAUACUCGUCGUUUUGUGUGCACCUUGCUCGAGACUGAGCAAACCCAGGCACCACUAUGUUUCUCUCCCUUUCUCUCUGCAGCUUCCGGCAGGUAUUCUAGAGUCAGGAAGCAUAAUACGAAUACAAUGGAAAGUAGACGGACUCGGUGAAGAUAGGAAUCGGUUUCCAUUCAAGUGGCAUCCAUCGUGGAUUCGCAAGGAAUUAAUUGAAGAAAAUAUUUUUAACGAAAUGGAUCAUCUCAUAAAUUUGCACGAACUUUAGCCAAAAUUUCAUUAUUAUUUUCAAUCGAAUGAAGAAAUAAAGAAAUAAAGAAACGAAACCGUGUUCUUUAUCAACAUAAAUAUCUUUGUGAGAAACCGUUUGAGAUAACAAGCAAUCGCCUUUUUUCCUAUCUGAUGACGAACCAACAAUGAGAAUAAAAUGAUCUAAUGCGAUUAAUCUAGUAGCGUAAGUGUUUUUCACAGCACACGAUAGAAGUACAUACACAUACAUAGAUGAAUAAACCAGACACUUACGACGGCACGCGCGACACGAGAACCACGAGACGAUGGUUUUGUGCGUUUGGAACUUGAGACGAGCUAUGAAGUUAAAUAAACAAAGUUUGCCAACAUCGAAUUGAGGAAAUAUAGGAAAAGUUUCUCAUGGUUGUGAAUCGAACCGACAAGAGAAUGAUAAAAUGAAGCGUGAGACUGUCUUCUGACGUUAAAUCUUUAUAAAAUACCUUUCUACUUUCGUAAAAAAAUGAGGAUGAUUCGUAUAAGAUAAGUGACUUGAUAUUUACGUCAAUGUUUAGAAUUAUUGAAUGGAAUAUAACUGAAAAGUAUGUGGGCACGUAGUACAGUAAAAAUAACUUAGAUAUUAUAUAAUAUUACAAGAAUGUUUUUGGAGAUUAAAGUAGAUAACUGCAGAGUCUUUUAAACGUAAGAUCAAGUUAUUUUUGCUUAAAGGUUUACAAAAAAGUUUUCUCUAAAAAAAAAAAAAUAAAGAAAUAUUGAAUUCGGAGAAAGAAUUCUUUUUAUGAUUUUCGAAGUCAGUAUUCGUGGUCGAUGUUAUUUAAGCGGCAACAACAAAGCGCAGUUCUGUACACGUGAAAGUACCGGUACGAAGAAGCGAUACGUUCAAUAAAAAGAUCCUUUUACCGAUCGCGAGCGGAACGUGCGAAAGCAAUGUAUGAGAAAUCCUCGCGUGGAGUCGACGAACGCAAUUUGAGGUCAACAAAAUAAUCGAGAGAGAGAAAGAGAAAGAGAAAGAUAGAUAGAGAGAGAGAGAGAGAGAGAGAGAGAGAGAGAGAGAGAGAGAGAGAGAGA